GAGCUCCUCUCCAGUCUGGAUGGCUCUCUUGGCAAAGAUCCCUAUCCUGUGAUCCCCGUUCACCAUCAUCACUACAGACAGCACAGACAGGCGGCGUGUCCUCGUCUUCAGCGGGAGCCCGAGCGAUGAUGCUGGACUCCUUCACCCUGAACUCGUAAACCUGCAGGACGCCGUGGCAACAAAGUUAAGACUGUCUUGGUGCCGAUGAGCCGAGCGAUGGCGCAGUAGUUGUCGUAGUACGUGCCGAUGAGAACCCUGAACAGAGAGGCUUCGGCUCCGCUCCACUCCACCGCUUCAGCCUCGCCGGUCAGCUUCAUCUUCACUGGAGUCUGACACCCUAUUACAAGUUGAUACGCACCAUGAAGUUCUGCUGCAGCGGAGACCACGAGUACAUGACCGGGACCGAGGCCACGGCGUUGAGUGUCUUCAGGGGGAUGACCUGCCUGGGGAACUCAGAGAAACCGCUGUCCACCGUACACUGUACAGAACAACAGGCAAGACAGGCAGGACCUUUCUCCGACCGCUUCCCUGUGAGCACCAUGAUCAACCUGCAGCUAAACAGAAGAAGAAGAAGAAGUUUCGGGGUGCGUGGCAGAACCACUCUUAUGAUGGGGGAGUGUGACGACCCUCUCUGAUCAAGCCUCUCCCUGCAGGAGCCUGAUGGGUGGAGUUCAGCUAUCAGGAGGCUUCAGCUCACCUGGACUGGCUGCACUAUAUACACUGGUGGCAGUCAGCCAGUCUGUUCACUGGUUUCCACCCUGUUUUGUUUUGCCUUUAGACUGAUUUCCCUUUUUAGGUCUGUGAAAUAAACUUAUUUUUAGUAAUAACUCAGGUGUGGUCUUCCCUCCUUUGUCCAGCCUUGAGCUGGGUUAUGACAAUAUAUACAUUUAGCGCUGCCACAAGUAAUCAAUUACUUGUCAACUAUUUUGAUUAUCAAAUACUUGUUUUUGGUAAUUUUUCAAUCAAAACUGCAAA